GGGCACUGCGAGGAGUGGAAGGCAGCGGUCAUACGCCAGAUCGGAGCAGCAGCAGCAGGGAGCUGCUGGUGGUUCAGGUUUGCCUGUAUGGCCGUCAACUCCAGCCCCGACCCGGACAGUGCCAUGGGUCCGGCGAAGUGGUCCACGCUGAGGAAGAGGGAAACAACACAGGGAAGAAGCCAGCGUUCUUGUGGUAUAUCUGAGGUAUUAGGACGAUUGGCCAGUGGAUGGAAAAGGUAUUGGUACAAAAGUCAUUGACAAACUGUAACAGGCUUAUGCAUCUGAGAUUCCUAUGAUGGCGAAAAAGUGACAAGACAUUGAAUGUGGAACAUUACAGAGAAAUGAUUGACUAUUUGACAGAAGUAUUAGAUGAGUUUCGGACGACAAGGUAAUGGCGUAGAGGUAGCAUCAUACAUACUGUUCUGGUUGGUUAGCUUCACGCUCUAAAGCUAGGAUUUUAAUUCUCUGAGUGUAAGUAAUGUAUUGUUAUACCAGAUGAAA